GUCACGAUUCGAAUAAUCACUGGAUUUCUUUUUUUUAAUUCCAGAAGUGCUGGUUCAAAUCCAGCUCGUGACG
rnacentral:tRNA from 1 species